GAUUAAGUUAUUAAGGGCGCACGGUGGAUGCCUUGGCACUAGAAGCCGAUGAAGGACGUUACUAACGACGAUAUGCUUUGGGGAGCUGUAAGUAAGCUUUGAUCCAGAGAUUUCCGAAUGGGGAAACCCAGCAUGAGUUAUGUCAUGUUAUCGAUAUGUGAAUACAUAGCAUAUCAGAAGGCACACCCGGAGAACUGAAACAUCUUAGUACCCGGAGGAAGAGAAAGAAAAUUCGAUUCCCUUAGUAGCGGCGAGCGAAACGGGAAGAGCCCAAACCAACAAGCUUGCUUGUUGGGGUUGUAGGACACUCUAUACGGAGUUACAAAGGACGACAUUAGACGAAUCAUCUGGAAAGAUGAAUCAAAGAAGGUAAUAAUCCUGUAGUCGAAAAUGUUGUCUCUCUUGAGUGGAUCCUGAGUACGACGGAGCACGUGAAAUUCCGUCGGAAUCUGGGAGGACCAUCUCCUAAGGCUAAAUACUCUCUAGUGACCGAUAGUGAACCAGUACCGUGAGGGAAAGGUGAAAAGCACCCCGGAAGGGGAGUGAAAUAGAACCUGAAACCGUGUGCUUACAAGUAGUCAGAGCCCGUUAAUGGGUGAUGGCGUGCCUUUUGUAGAAUGAACCGGCGAGUUACGAUUUGAUGCAAGG
rnacentral:rRNA from 1 species